GCCAGGCACGGUGGCUCAUGCCUGUAAUCCAGCACUUUGGGAGGCUGAGGCGGGUGGAUCACUUGAGGUCAGGAGUUCAAGACCAGCUUGGUCAACAUGGCGAAACCCUAUCUCUAUUAAAAUACAAAAAUUAGCCGGGCGUGGUGGUGGACACCUGUAAUCCCAGCUACUCAGGAAGCUGAGGCAGGAAAAUCACUUGAACCUGUGAGUUGGAGGUUUCAGUGAGCCUGAGAUCGUGCCACUGUACUCCAGCCUGGGUGACACAGUGAGAUUCCGUCUCA
rnacentral:sRNA from 1 species